rfam:Culex pipiens quinquefasciatus supercont3.2362 genomic scaffold, whole genome shotgun sequence.
GCAGCUGUAGCUGAAUGGUUACGGUGUUUGCUUUGUAAGCGAAUGGAUCUGGGUUCGAUUCUCAUCUGCUUCU